CUAAAUUUAGAAGCGAUCCAUUCAUUGUCACAUUAUAAUGCAAAAUCCUAAACUGCAGAAAUCCCAGAAUUUAUGUUCCGGGGAUGUAUGUUCUCCGAGGCUUCAGCUACGAUUUUCCGCAAAUUCUGGGCGACGGACGUGUGCGGCGUGUAGAUGUUCACCGUUCCCCAGCGUCAGGGUGCACUGACUAGGCGCCGGGACGCCGAUCCUGCUUUUCGAACCCCCACCCUUUGCAGGACGACCGACCCGAGCCUCGGUAAAGGAGCAGCAGGACAAGACACCGGGGUCUAAUUUAAACGUGGAAAAAAGCUCGGAUCCUGGGCGUUAUUGAAAUACGGUCUUAUUACGCAAAAGCAAACAGAUGGAGUAG